CUUCAGGGAGCCCAGCCACAGCGGCCGGUCCGCCGGGCGGUCCGGGCCGUACACGGCGAGCAGCGCCUCGGCCUC
rnacentral:antisense_RNA from 1 species